CUACUACUCCCUCCGUCCGGAAAUACUUGUCAUCAAAAUGAAUAAAAGGGAUGUAUCUAGAUGUAUUUUAGUUUGAGAUACAUCUCUUUUUGUCCAUUUUGAUGACAAGUAUUCUCGGACAGAGGGAGUACAAA
rnacentral:pre_miRNA from 1 species